ensembl:miRNA MIR4278 microRNA 4278
AUCUAACACCAGGAGAAUCCCAUAGAACAUUGACAUCAACACUAGGGGGUUUGCCCUUGUGGGGAAGAA